rnacentral:rRNA from 1 species
UGCAUAUCCAAAAAGCGGAGGAAAAGAAACCAACAGGGAUUGCCUUAGUAGCGGCGAGUGAAGCGGCAAAAGCUCAAAUUUGAAAUCUGGCUCUUUCAGAGUCCGAGUUGUAAUUUGAAGAAGGUAUCUUUGGGUCUGGCUCUUGUCUAUGUUUCUUGGAACAGAACGUCACAGAGGGUGAGAAUCCCGUGCGAUGAGAUGAUCCAGGCCUAUGUAAAGUUCCUUCGAAGAGUCGAGUUGUUUGGGAAUGCAGCUCUAAGUGGGUGGUAAAUUCCAUCUAAAGCUAAAUAUUGGCGAGAGACCGAUAGCGAACAAGUACAGUGAUGGAAAGAUGAAAAGAACUUUGAAAAGAGAGUGAAAAAGUACGUGAAAUUGUUGAAAGGGAAGGGCUUGAGAUCAGACUUGGUAUUUUGUAUGUUACUUCUUCGGGGGUGGCCUCUACAGUUUAUCGGGCCAGCAUCAGUUUGGGCGGUAGGAGAAUUGCGUUGGAAUGUGGCACGGCUUCGGUUGUGUGUUAUAGCCUUCGUCGAUACUGCCAGCCUAGACUGAGGACUGCGGUUUAUACCUAGGAUGUUGGCAUAAUGAUCUUAAGUCGCCCGUCUUGAAACCACGGACCCA